rnacentral:misc_RNA from 1 species
GACAAGAUGGGCUCGUGGAAGGACAAAGCGUCAGCAUGGAAAAUAUUUUGAAGACGAUUUUAUAACAAUACAAAUAUUUUAGUUCAUGUAGGUGCCAGUGAAUAUUAACAAAGGUACACAAUGGAAAAACAGUACUCUGUUCAGUUCUUCUCGUCUUUUGUCGAGGCCAUGCAGAAGUUGUGUCGAGAGUACUUGGACUUUGAUCAGGGCGUAGAGUUGAGUGGCUAUUUGGCUGUGGAGAUUGACAAUUUCAAGAAAGAGCGCUACGUUUUGAGCGAGCUGAUUCAGAGUACAGGACAUGUGAUCAGUGAGAGUUACUGUACAAAAGCGUUUAAAACGCAUAGAAAGGAUGUUUCGUAUGGCACUGAGAAUCAGGCACCGCAGGCAAACCGGUUUAGCAGUAGGGUGUCCAGUCAAGGACCAGACUAUUCGCUUGGUAAUAACCAAGACCGUGUCUCUAGUCGCACCUUCAGCAGUAUCCGACCCCGACCCAGACAGAACUUUUCCCAUCACAGGAAACCUGUGAGGACAUCGAUAAUAGGUGGUAGCAGAAUAAAUGAGACAAUUUCCCUGAUUGAUGAUUCUAAUUCAGGCAAUCAGUUCGGUGAGUCGGCGGGUUCUCAAGAACAAGACGUCGAUCAGAGUCAUGUGUCCCAUGAUUCAUCUUUCCCUAGUCAACAGGCUUCCAUGAGCGAUACACCCCAAGCAGCAUCUCAUAGUCUCACCGCCUCACCACUUCCUUCCACACCUCUCAAGAGAAGUUCUUCAGCUGUGGAAGAUGAUUUUCCUUCAAAUAAAAAAGAUAAGCUGGACUCCAGUCUAGAUGCUUUAUAUGAUGCUGCAAAGGACAUUGCCUCCAGUGCACAGAGUGAUAUAGACUCCAUGAGCAGUAACUAUCCCAUGUCUAAAUUCACAAGGACAGCUGUGUCGGGUUCAGAAACAAUAUCUACUGCUGCGCCGGGCGGUCAGACGUCGACAGCACAGUCAGGAGUCGGUGAUAGUGUUCGAAUGCCUUUGGUAGUGAAAGAGGAGAAACCUGACGAUGUUCCGUAUAUGGUGUUAGAUGACCCCAAUGUGCUGGACCCAGAAGUACAUGUGAAAACAUUAGACAAAACAAUGUUUAACUCAGAACAUGAUAAUUCACAAACAUUCAGUCUAGAUGGUGCAACAAGUUUCUCCAGUGAUAUGCCAAGUGCUUCGACAUCUUUUGCUGGGUUGCAGGAUUCAAUGCAUUCUGGGAAUGCAGCAGAUGGUGGUGCAUCAUGGGAUAACCAAGUGGCUGAACAUUCAAACAUGUAUUGCCAGUCACAGAAGCUAACUGGAGGCACAAGAUACAAAUGUAACGAAUGUACCAAAACUUUCACUUUUCAUUCAGCUCUUACAAGACAUAUGCGGACUGUGCAUGCUAAGAGCAAGUGUUUGUGUAGAGUUUGUGGGAAACAAUUCAGUCGGAAUUCAAAUCUCAACAUCCAUGUGAGAAUGCACCAUCCAGAAUUGUUUAGUCUAUGUUCCUAGUAUACAUGUAUGUAUAUGUAAUACUCAUACAUGCAUAUUCUGACUUGGCUGUGAAAACACAAGCGUUAAAAGUAUAGAUACAUUACCUUAUUACUGUGUGAUGAAACCAUCUGGAAUAGUUUGUUAAACUGCGUGGUAAUAUGGUGAAAUUAUAAAAACUGAAAAUCUAGUUUGGGAACUGAACUUGUCAUGCUGAAGGUAUUGAAUUUGGAGAUACAUGUAACUGCAAAAUUACAGGGAUGCUGCUAAUCUGCAGCUGCUACGGGACUUGGAAAAAUCUUGAUGUAGCACCUUGAUAGGAUUGAGUUUUACUCGGAACUACAAUUGGCUGAGACCCAGCAACAGGAAAGUAGCAACCGAUUUGGGAGAAAGUGUUCAUUCGAUGCCGAAACAGCGUCACCUGUGUGUUGAAUGUAACAAAGUGUUUGCAUUUCCACACGAUCUAAAAAGACACCAGUCGUCUGUUCAC